UUUUUUAUGUAUGUUACAUCAGAACUUUUGAGCGGGUAGACCGAUUUCGACAAAUUUUAUUUCAAUCGAAAGGUGGUGUGUGCCAAUUGGUCCCAUUUAAAUUUAUUUGAGAUCUAACAACUACUUUUCGAGCUAUAUCUAAUAAUGCGUUUUUACUUGACGCUUUUUUCGUCGACCUACGUUGUAUUAUACCGCAUAACUUUCUACUGGAUGUACCGAUUUUGAUAAUUUUUUUUUUUGUUGGAAAG
rnacentral:misc_RNA from 1 species